UUACCGUGCAAGUAUCUUCAUGCCAUCACUGGAAGCAAUGCCAGGCUGCAGAACACAAAAAAUUAAAUCAUUGGACUGUAAUAUGCAUUAAUCAGAUUUUCUUGUUCAUUAAUUGAAGGCGCUGGAAUGCCGCCCACUUUAACCCCUGGUUACCUCCAUCUUUACAUGCAGUCCAUAGUGGUACUCACCUCGGUGAUCAGCUUCUCCUCCAUUGUGAUACAGAUAACCUGCACCCUGCCUGCUCUAUCAGGAUGUUUUCAUAUGGUGGUUUUAUUAGCUGGUUCUUGAAAAAGUUAAACAUGAAGCCUGAGAUGCAUACAGUACAUGUGAGUCCAGUCUUAGGGGUCUGGUGGCUCCUAAAGCACCUGAGCAUGUACCGGGUUUGGUUCGUUGAGCAGUCCGUGCAUAAAGGAGACACACAAAAGUACAUCCCUCGCCCAUCUCUCCACUUCCACCUCUUACACAGUCCGGCAGCUUACACUUUGCAGCACUGAAGAGGCUGCAGCAAACUGGUCCACCAUAAUGCAUUUGUGAUCACUGUAAUUUCUCAGAAAAAAAAAAGCAGAAAUCAUCCACUGUCACAAAAGACAUGAAAAGUUCAGGUGCAUAAGGAUUGGAAAGUUACAGUGUUUAAAUGUCCUAUUGUGCUCUGAAAUUACACUGGAUCGAAAAGUUAAAAGCUUUUGUUAAAUGCCAAACACACUUGUCGAAGUUAAAAAAAACAAAAAAAACAAAAGCUGGAGGAAAUGGUAAAACAAUGUAUUUCUCUUUGCUCCCAAAGAUUCGAAUAACCUUUUCUAAGUGCCAUUAUAUAGGAGCUUUAUCAAGCCAAGGAAUUUGCUCUAUAGUUUUCAUCCACAUGUCCUUUAAUGCAAAUGCUCUUUUAAAAAUUUCUAUUAUAAUGAUGAUAAUAAUGGCAAAUGCAUUUUGUUCAGCGCCGUUACUUUUUUGUGCCAAAAACAGGGUGUCCUUUCCCCCUUAAAAAAACAAGUUUGUGCAAAAG
ensembl:lncRNA